rnacentral:rRNA from 1 species
AACGGGUGAGUAACACGUAAGUACCUUCCCUCAAGACUGGCAUAACCUGCCGAAAGGCGGGCUAAUUCCAGAUGUGAUCUCCGGAUUAAAUCUCCCGCCUUUGGCGGGAGGCUUGAGGAUGGGCUUGCGGCCUAUCAGCUAGUUGGCGGGGUAAAGGCCCACCAAGGCUAUGACGGGUAGCUGGUCUGAGAGGACGACCAGUCACAAUGGAACUGAGACACGGUCCAUACUCCUACGGGAGGCAGCAGUGAGGAAUUUUCCGCAAUGGGCGAAAGCCUGACGGAGCGACGCCGUGUGGGUGAUGAAGUCUUUCGGGAUGUAAAGCCCUGUCAGAGGGGACGAUAUUGACGGUACCCUCAGAGGAAGCCACGGCUAACUACGUGCCAGCAGCCGCGGUAAUACGUAGGUGGCGAGCGUUGUCCGGAAUCAUUGGGCGUAAAGCGCGCGUAGGUGGUUUUUUAAGUCGGGUGUAAAAGGCUUCGGCUCAACCGAGGUAUGCAUCCGAAACUAAAAAGCUGGAGAGAUUCAGAGGAAAGCGGAAUUUGCGGUGUAGCGGUGAAAUGCGUAGAUAUCGCAAGGAACACCAGUGGCGAAGGCGGCUUUCUGGGGAUCUUCUGACACUGAGGCGCGAAAGCCAGGGGAGAGAACGGGAUUAGAUACCCCGGUAUUCCUGGCCCUAAACCAUGCUCACUAGGUGUGCGAGGUAUCGACCCCUUGCGUGCCGCAGCUAACGCGUUAAGUGAGCCGCCUGGGGAGUACGGCCGCAACGUUGAAACUCAAAAGAAUUGACGGGGGCCCGCACAAGCGGUGGAGCAUGUGGUUUACUUCGAUGCUACGCGAAAGACCUUACCUGGGUUUGACAUGCUAGUAGUAAGAACCUGAAAGGGGGAUGAACCGUAGAAAUACGGAAGCUAGCACAGGUGCUGCAUGGCUGUCGUCAGCUCGUGUCGUGAGAUGUUGGGUUAAGUCCCGCAACGAGCGCAACCCCUACGGCUAGUUGAUACCGUUAAGUCGAUCACUCUAGCUGAACUGCCCCGGAUAACGGGGAGGAAGGUGGGGAUGAGGUCAAGUCAUCAUGGCCCUUAUGCCCAGGGCCACACACGUGCUACAAUGGCACAUACAAAGGGAAGCAAUACGGCGACGUGGAGCAAAUCUCAAAAAGUGUGCCUCAAUUCGGAUUGCAGGCUGCAACUCGUCUGCAUGAAGCCGGAAUCGCUAGUAACCGCAGAUCAGCGUGCUGCGGUGAAUACGUUCUCGGGCCUUGUACACACCGCCCGUCACA